ensembl:miRNA
CAUGCACACAUAAUUUUGUGUGCAUGUACAUGUGUGUAUAUGAUUAUACAUAACACACACACACACACGUAUAAAAGCAAGCACACACACACCAAGGUAUGGC